AAGACAAGGAGCAAACGGAAAAUUCAAAGGAGAUUCAAGAUGAACCCAUGGAACAACCGCAAGAGGAGACACAAUCACAAGAAUCGAUGAUGCCUGAGGCUGGGAGGACGUCUAAAGACCAUCCUCUCGACAAGGUAAUUGGCGACAUCGAGAAAGGAGUAAGUACUCGAAACCUUCUCAAAGACACCAUAAGUCAUAUGGCAUUUGUUUCCC
rnacentral:lncRNA from 1 species